UGACAGUACUCCUACGGGGAGGCAGCAUGGGGGGAAUAUUGCACAAUGGGCGCAAGCCUGAUGCAGCCAUGCCGCGUGUGUGAAGAAGGCCUUCGGGUUGUUAAAGCACUUUCAGUCGUGAGGAAGGUAGUGUAGUUAAUAGCUGCAUUAUUUGACGUUAGCGACAGAAGAAGCACCGGCUAACUCCGUGCCAGCAGCCGCGGUAAUACGGAGGGUGCGAGCGUUAAUCGGAAUUACUGGGCGUAAAGCGCAUGCAGGUGGUUUGUUAAGUCAGAUGUGAAAGCCCGGGGCUCAACCUCGGAAUAGCAUUUGAAACUAGGCAGACUAGAGUACUGUAGAGGGGGGUAGGAAUUUCAGGUGUAGCGGUGAAAUGCGUAGAGAUCUGAAGGAAUACCGGUGGCGAAGGCGGCCCCCUGGACAGAUACUGACACUCAGAUGCGAAAGCGUGGGGAGCAAACAGGAUUAGAUACCCUGGUAG
rnacentral:rRNA from 1 species